rnacentral:rRNA from 1 species
UACAUGGGGUGCAAACGUUGCUCGGAAUUAUUGGGCGUAAAGCGCACGUAGGCGGUUCGUUAAGUCGGAUGUGAAAGCCCUCGGCUCAACUGAGGAAGUGCACCCGAAACUGGCGAGCUUGAGUACGAAAGAGGAUCGCGGAAUUCCCGGUGUAGAGGUGAAAUUCGUAGAUAUCGGGAGGAACACCGGUGGCGAAGGCGGCGAACUGGACGAAUACUGACGCUGAGACACGAAAGCGUGGGGAGCAAACAGG